rnacentral:ncRNA from 1 species
UUGUAGACUACAAGGUUGAUAGGCGGAAAGUGUACGCACCGCAAGGUGUUUAGCUCAUCCGUACUAAUUGGUCCAGAGUAAAUUUUAA